rnacentral:misc_RNA from 1 species
GAGAGUAAGUUAUUGCCAGGGUUUUUAUUUUAUACUUUAAACAUUGAUUUUUUUUUUUAUGUUUGGAGAUGUUCAUGUUUCUGAAUGUUUUAUUCGAAUAAUAUAAAAAAUAAAAUAUAUAUUGACAUGGAUUAAACAAAGAUAUCUAUUAUUCUAUGUUGUAUAAACAAAUUGGCAAAAUAGAGAUGGAAGAUAAAAAUAUGGUCAAAGUAAUAAGAGUCUAUG